AUUGAACGCUGGCGGCAGGCCUUACACAUGCAAGUCGAACGGUAACGCGGGGCAACCUGGCGACGAGUGUCGAACGGGUGAGUAAUGUAUCGGAACGUGCCCAGUUGUGGGGGAUAACUGCUCGAAAGAGCAGCUAAUACCGCAUACGACCUGAGGGUGAAAGCGGGGGAUAGCAAGACCUCGCGCAAUGGGAGCGGCCGAUAUCAGAUUAGGUAGGUGGUGGGGUAAAGGCUCACUACGCCGACGAUAGGUAGCUGGUCUGAGAGGACGACCGACGAAACUGGGACUGAGACACGGCUCAGACUCCUACGGUAUGCGGCAGUGGGGAAUUUUGGACAAUGGUAGCAAAUCUGAGCCAGCCAUACCGAGUGCAGGAAGAAGGACUUCGGGUUGUAAACCGCUUUUGUCAGGGAAGAAAAGGCUCCUUCUAAUUUCGGGGGCUCAUGACGGUACCUGAAGAAUAAGCACCGGCUAACUACGUGCCAGCCGCCGCAGUAAUAC
rnacentral:rRNA from 1 species